rnacentral:rRNA from 1 species
UACGGAGGAUGCGAGCGUUAUCCGGAUUUAUUGGGUUUAAAGGGUGCGCAGGCGGCCUGUUAAGUCAGCGGUAAAAGCCCGGGGCUCAACCCCGGCGAGCCGUUGAAACUGGCGGGCUGGAGUUGGAGAGAAGUACGCGGAAUGCGCGGUGUAGCGGUGAAAUGCUUAGAUAUAACUUAGAACUCCGAUAGCGAAGGCAGCUUACCAGACUGCGACUGACGCUGAAGCACGAGAGCGUGGGUAGCGAACAGG